UUAGAUCGAAUGAGAGAAAUGGACUGAAAAAAAGUCCGGCUGUCGCGUUGUUGAAACGCCGGGCGAAAUAAUGCGACCACUUUUUUAUUUUCAUUCAUUAUUUCUUCUUUCUCUCUUUUGUUAAUUUUCCCCAUUUCGUAUCCCCUUGUCUAUUUAACACAAUAAAAA
rnacentral:ribozyme from 14 species